AUGCGACUUUUCAAAGCGUUCCAUGAAAACACCCUAGAUAUUGCGCGCUUAAACUAUGGGGUGAUCACUUUGAUCCCCAAGAUGAAUGGGGCUAAGAAAAUCCAGCAAUAUCGCCUCAUAUGCUUGCUUCGAUGCCCCUAUAAGCUAAUUACGAAAAUUCUUGAUAACAGGGUGGCUGUAUAUGCUGAUAAGCUAAUCAGCCGGCACCAAAAUGCAUUCAUUAAAUACAGAAACAAAAUGGAUGGAAUCCUCACUCUUCACGAGGUGCUGCAUCAUACGCAUGUCAAGAAAAAAAUUGGGGUGGUGCUAAAAUUAGACUUUGCAAAAGCCUAUGACAAGAUUAACUGGGACUUCCUUCUCGAGUGCCAUCGUAACCGUGGUUUUGGUCCAACCUGGUGUGGGUGGGUGAAAAAAAUCUUGCACAAUGGCACAGUGAGCAUUAAACUAAAUAAUGAGGUGGGUCCCUAUUUCCAAAGUCACAAAGGGGUUCGUCAAGGCGACCCCCACUCCCCUUUCCUGUUCAACCUAGCCGUUGAGACUCUUUCGAAGAUGAUAUUCGAUGCCCAAAAAGAAAAGCUCCUAACUGGGCUUGCCCCUGACUUGAUUGAAGGGGGAGUAGCUAUCCUGCAGUAUGCAGAUGAUACCGUCAUUUGUUUGGAACAUGAUAAGAAUGCUGCUAUAAACCUGAAACUCCUUCUUUACAUGUUUGAACUUAUGUCUGGCUUAAAAAUCAACUUCCUCAAAAGUGAAGUCCUUUGUGUUGGAGGGGAUGAGGACACAUUGGCCUUUUAUGCGGAACUGUUUAAUUGUAAUAUUGGACACUUCCCUAUGAAAUACCUGGGAGUGCCAGUUAGUUUCUCUACACUUCGCGUCCUUGAGUGGGAUUUUGUGGAUGAAAGAUUCCUAAAGUGCUGUGAGGCCUGGAUUGGGAAUGCAGCUUCCUCGGGAGGGAGGCUUAUAUUACUCAAUUCCUCGCUCACGAGCAUUGUGUACUACUACAUGUCUAUGUUUCUCCUUCCUAACACGGUGAUAGUAAAACUA
rnacentral:rRNA from 1 species